rnacentral:rRNA from 1 species
AUUUUUUCCUGUAGCAAUACAGGGAAAAGUCUAGUGGCGAACGGGUGCGUAACACGUGGGCAAUCUGCCUUAAAGUGGGGGAUAGCUCGGCGAAAGCCGAAUUAAUACCGCAUGUGAUCAGGGGAGACAUCUUCCCGAAAUCAAAAGUGGCGCAAGCUACUGCUUUUUGAGGAGCCCGCGGCCUAUCAGCUAGUUGGUGAGGUAACGGCUCACCAAGGCUUUGACGGGUAGCUGGUCUGAGAGGACGACCAGUCACACUGGAACUGAGACACGGUCCAGACACCUACGGGUGGCAGCAGUCGAGAAUUUUUCUCAAUGGGGGAAACCCUGAAGGAGCGACGCCGCGUGGAGGAUGAAGGUCUUCGGGUUGUAAACUCCUGUCAUUUGGGAACAAGUGUCGGUACCUAACUGCUACCGGCUUGAUAGUACCAGAAGAGGAAGGGACGGCUAACUCUGUGCCAGCAGCCGCGGUAAUACAGAGGUCUCAAGCGUUGUUCGGAUUCAUUGGGCGUAAAGGGUGUGUAGGUGGCGCCGUAAGUCGGGUGUGAAAUUUCGGAGCUUAACUCCGAAACUGCAUUCGAUACUGCGGUGCUUGAGGACUGGAGAGGAGACUGGAAUUCAUGGUGUAGCAGUGAAAUGCGUAGAGAUCAUGAGGAAGACCAGUGGCGAAGGCGGGUCUCUGGACAGUUCCUGACACUGAGACACGAAGGCCAGGGGAGCAAACGGGAUUAGAUACCCCGGUAGUCCUGGCAGUAAACGGUGCACGUUUGGUGUGGGAGGAUUCGACCCCUUCUGCGCCGGAGCUAACGCGUUAAACGUGCCGCCUGGGGAGUACGGUCGCAAGA